AUGGGAACCAGGUGUCAGGAAGAUCUACUUUAGGCCGGACGCAGUGGCUCACACCUGUAAUCCCAGCACUUUGGAAGAUUGAGGUGGGCAGAUCAUGAGGUCAAGAGAUCGAGACCAACCUGGCCAAUAUGGUGAAACCUCGUCUCUACUAAAAAUACAAAAAUUAGCUGGGCAUGGUGGCGGGCGCCUGUAGUCCCAGCUAUUCUGGAGGCUGAGGCAGGAGAAUUGCUUGAACCCUGGAGGCGGAGGUUGCCGUGAGCUAACAUUGCGCCCCUACACUCCAGCCUGCCAACAGAGCAAGACUCCGUCUCAAAAAUAAAAAAAGGAUCUACUUUUGAGAAUACUGUCAUUGGUUGAUAAAAUACAGCAGAAACUUGUGAAGAAGCUAUUUUCCAGUAAGCUAAUUCAAGUUGUUUAGAACUAUAAUUGAAUAUCCAAUAAAAUUGUUAUGUAAAUAUGAUUGAUAUUGUUACUGAAAUAUCACAUGAAAACUCCUAAACUCCUUAAGUAAUUGAAAUAGUAUUAAUGUGAAAGAGCU
rnacentral:lncRNA from 1 species